rnacentral:lncRNA from 10 species
GUUUUACAAGGGGCUUCCCCCUUUGUUCAGCUCUCAUUCUUCUCAUUCCUGCUACCAUGUGAAGAAGGAUGUGUUUGCUUCCCCUUCCACCAUGAUUUUAAGUUUCCUGAGGCCUCCUGAGCCCUGCAGAACAGCUGCCUCUACUCUCCAAGUUGACUCCAUUCAAUCUCUUGCGGCUGCUGCUUCCCUAACUCUGAGUCCUUGCCUUCUGCUACAUUUGGUUACAAUUAACGUCCAGCUUGUCUUCUAGACCUCACCUGCUCUGGGCUCUGGACCCAGGUUCUGAGCACUGAUUUCAUCAAGCCGAUGGAGGCAACAACAUAUUCCUUAGGGAAAAUUAAGAUGCACAGUAUGCUUCAAGAUGAUGGCCAAGAACAACCAACUCAACGAGCCUUCAGGAAUUCAUGAUUUGAAUAUCAUGUUCAAGCUACAGACAUCAGCAAACUCGAGAAAAGAAGGUUUGCUCUGGGAGAUUCUACAUGUGACCUGUUUAUAUGUAAUUAUAUUAUCUAUUACUCAAGUAUUUGUCUUGUGCUGUCUAAAUUAUAAGCUUCUCAACUGUUUGCCUUGAGUGAGAUGUGCACGCUAAAGCCUCUCAAUAAAUAUUAAUUGAAUGAAUAAUUGAAAAAAACC